AGUGAACGCUGGCGGUAGGCCUAACACAUGCAAGUCGAACGGCAGCACAGUAAGAGCUUGCUCUUACGGGUGGCGAGUGGCGGACGGGUGAGGAAUACAUCGGAAUCUACUUUUUCGUGGGGGAUAACGUAGGGAAACUUACGCUAAUACCGCAUACGACCUACGGGUGAAAGCAGGGGAUCUUCGGACCUUGCGCGAUUGAAUGAGCCGAUGUCGGAUUAGCUAGUUGGCGGGGUAAAGGCCCACCAAGGCGACGAUCCGUAGCUGGUCUGAGAGGAUGAUCAGCCACACUGGAACGGAGAAACGGUCCAGACUCCUAGGGGAGGCAGAAGAGGGAAAUAUUGGACAAUGGGCGCAAGCCUGAGCCAGCCAUACCGCGUGGGGAAAGAAGGCCUUCGGGUUGUAAAGCCCUUUUGUUGGGAAAGAAAAGCAGCAGGUUAAUACCCCGCUGUUCUGACGGUACCCAAAGAAUAAGCACCGGCUAAUUUCGU
rnacentral:rRNA from 1 species